rnacentral:rRNA from 1 species
GAUGAACGCUGGCGGCGUGCCUAAUACAUGCAAGUCGAGCGAAUGGAUUGAGAGCUUGCUCUUAUGAAGUUAGCGGCGGACGGGUGAGUAACACGUGGGUAACCUGCCCAUAAGACUGGGAUAACUCCGGGAAACCGGGGCUAAUACCGGAUAACAUUUUGAACCGCAUGGUUCGAAAUUGAAAGGCGGCUUCGGCUGUCACUUAUGGAUGGACCCGCGUCGCAUUAGCUAGUUGGUGAGGUAACGGCUCACCAAGGCAACGAUGCGUAGCCGACCUGAGAGGGUGAUCGGCCACACUGGGACUGAGACACGGCCCAGACUCCUACGGGAGGCAGCAGUAGGGAAUCUUCCGCAAUGGACGAAAGUCUGACGGAGCAACGCCGCGUGAGUGAUGAAGGCUUUCGGGUCGUAAAACUCUGUUGUUAGGGAAGAACAAGUGCUAGUUGAAUAAGCUGGCACCUUGACGGUACCUAACCAGAAAGCCACGGCUAACUACGUGCCAGCAGCCGCAGUAACAC